rnacentral:rRNA from 1 species
AAGUCGAACGCGAAAGGGGCUUCGGCCCUGAGUAGAGUGGCGAACGGGUGAGUAACACGUGGGUGACCUGCCCUCGAGUGGGGGAUAACAUCCCGAAAGGGGUGCUAAUACCGCAUGACAUCCUGUCUUUGAACAGAUGGACAUUAAAGCCGGGGAUCGCAAGACCUGGCGCUCGAGGAGGGGCUCGCGUCCGAUUAGCUAGUUGGUGGGGUAAUGGCCUACCAAGGCGACGAUCGGUAGCCGGCCUGAGAGGGCGGACGGCCACACUGGGACUGAGACACGGCCCAGACUCCUACGGGAGGCAGCAGUGGGGAAUUGUUCGCAAUGGGCGCAAGCCUGACGACGCAACGCCGCGUGGAGGAUGAAGAUCUUCGGGUCGUAAACUCCUUUCGAUCGGGACGAACGGCUGGUGGUCUAACACAUCAUCAGAGUGACGGUACCGAGAGAAGAAGCCCCGGCUAACUCCGUGCCAGCAGCCGCGGUAAUACGGGGGGGGCAAGCGUUGUUCGGAAUUACUGGGCGUAAAGGGCGCGUAGGCGGCCUGCUAAGUCGGAUGUGAAAUCCCUCGGCUCAACCGAGGAACUGCAUCCGAUACUGGCGGGCUUGAGUCCGGGAGAGGGAUGUGGAAUUCCAGGUGUAGCGGUGAAAUGCGUAGAUAUCUGGAGGAACACCGGUGGCGAAGGCGGCAUCCUGGACCGGUAUUGACGCUGAGGCGCGAAAGCUAGGGGAGCAAACGGGAUUAGAUACCCCGGUAGUCCUAGCCCUAAACGGUGAGUGCUUGGUGUGGCGGGUAUCGAUCCCUGCCGUGCCGAAGCUAACGCAUUAAGCAC